GUCCACGCCCUAAACGAUGUCAACUAGGUGUUGGGUGGGUAAAACCAUUUAGUACCGGAGCUAACGCGUGAAGUUGACCGCCUGGGGAGUACGGCCGCAAGGUUAAAACUCAAAGGAAUUGACGGGGACCCGCACAAGCGGUGGAUGAUGUGGAUUAAUUCGAUGCAACGCGAAAACCUUACCUACCCUUGACAUGUCCAGAAGCCUUGAGAGAUUGAGGUGUGCCCGAAAGGGAACUGGAACACAGGUGCUGCAUGGCUGUCGU
rnacentral:rRNA from 1 species